rnacentral:rRNA from 1 species
AGUGGCGAACGGGUGAGUAACGCGUGAGGAACCUGCCUCAAAGAGGGGGACAACAGUUGGAAACGACUGCUAAUACCGCAUAAGCCCACGGCUCGGCAUCGAGCAGAGGGAAAAGGAGUGAUCCGCUUUGAGAUGGCCUCGCGUCCGAUUAGCUAGUUGGUGAGGUAACGGCCCACCAAGGCGACGAUCGGUAGCCGGACUGAGAGGUUGAACGGCCACAUUGGGACUGAGACACGGCCCAGACUCCUACGGGAGGCAGCAGUGGGGAAUAUUGCACAAUGGGGGAAACCCUGAUGCAGCGACGCCGCGUGGAGGAAGAAGGUCUUCGGAUUGUAAACUCCUGUUGUUGAGGAAGAUAAUGACGGUACUCAACAAGGAAGUGACGGCUAACUACGUGCCAGCAGCCGCGGUAAAACGUAGGUCACAAGCGUUGUCCGGAAUUACUGGGUGUAAAGGGAGCGCAGGCGGGAGAACAAGUUGGAAGUGAAAUCCAUGGGCUCAACCCAUGAACUGCUUUCAAAACUGUUUUUCUUGAGUAGUGCAGAGGUAGGCGGAAUUCCCGGUGUAGCGGUGGAAUGCGUAGAUAUCGGGAGGAACACCAGUGGCGAAGGCGGCCUACUGGGCACCAACUGACGCUGAGGCUCGAAAGUGUGGGUAGCAAACAGGAUUAGAUACCCUGGUAGUCCACACCGUAAACGAUGAUUACUAGGUGUUGGAGGAUUGACCCCUUCAGUGCCGCAGUUAACACAAUAAGUAAUCCACCUGGGGAGUACGACCGCAAGGUUGAAACUCAAAGGAAUUGACGGGGGCCCGCACAAGCAGUGGAGUAUGUGGUUUAAUUCGACGCAACGCGAAGAACCUUACCAAGUCUUGACAUCCCUUGACGAACAUAGAAAUAUGUUUUCUCUUCGGAGCAAGGAGACAGGUGGUGCAUGGUUGUCGUCAGCUCGUGUCGUG